rnacentral:rRNA from 1 species
UACAGAGGUGGCAAGCGUUGUUCGGAAUUACUGGGCGUAAAGGGCUCGUAGGUGGCCAACUAAGUCGGACGUGAAAUCCCUCAGCUUAACUGGGGAACUGCGUCCGAUACUGGAUGGCUUGAGUUUGGGAGAGGGAUGCGGAAUUCCAGGUGUAGCGGUGAAAUGCGUAGAUAUCUGGAGGAACACCGGUGGCGAAGGCGGCAUCCUGGACCAACACUGACACUGAGGAGCGAAAGCCAGGGGAGCAAACGGG